CCCGCGCAAAUUUGAAUUUCAUAAAGAUAAUUUUAAUCAUAACAUGUGAUUUGUAAAAUAUGUUCUCGGUCGGACGAUCGAUUCAUUCUUCUCCAAGAUCUUAAUGAGAAUACAUCUGUGUACCCUCCUUAUCUUAUAUAAAAUAAUUCCAUAUAUGUUGGCGUAAAUAUCAAGGGCUGGUACUGAAAACUGUGACAUUAAUAAAUGGCAUAAAACUACAAGUGUUAUUGCAUUGAAUAUUAAUUACCAAUCCAAACAAGAUAUUACAACUGUUAAUAAGGAUUCAUUUCUGGCGAGCAUAGAAAUCUCAAUAAUUAGUAUAUUUUGGUUAGUUGUAAAAAAGAAGUAGGGAUAUAAUAUUCGCCUAUGAACAGAUGCGGAUUGCUGACCAUUCUGACCUGAUUCCUUGUAAGUGUAGUGUGUAGUGUGGUAAAAGUUUUGUUGGUGGUCCUAAAUAAGCAAAGAUUACCGGGUUUAACGGAUCAAAGCAAUAAUUACGUUUGGUUUCGAUAAAAUCAUUUCAAUAGUAAGUGUUCAGUUACUUCAGCUCAACUUAUUCUGUUCGCCAGUGGUAGCAGGACGCGGGUUUGAGGAACUUACCUGGCAGAGUAUUUGCUAAAAUAUUUGAAUAACAUGAAUACCAAGGAAUCGAUGGUGAGGACACUCUUUGGAUAAGUUGAAGAGGACCCUUUAACCAAGACCCACAGAAAAAUUUUCUCUAAUCUUGAUGAACCUUUUGGAUCAACAGAGGAAAACGGAAUGUAGACACCUGUUAACACCGGAAGGAAUAUUUCCUGUUUCGAAAUCAUCAUAAAAUAUAAAGGAAGGGAUGAUUAUUUUAUCUAGAUACUGUUUUUCCAGUAAAAUCCACAAAGUGGAAUUGCAAAUACUACCUACUUUUGUAAUCAGAAUUCGAAUGUAAAAUAUUGACUAGAAAUAAAUAUAAAGAGUAUUUAGUAUUCCAUAAAUAUAUUUUCCUUGAAUAAAAUGUAUUCAUAUUUAAUUAACAGAGAUGUGCAUGACUUUCAGACAAAAAAAGGAUUGGUUUUAAAAAAUGAGAAUUAAUUUAUGGAUAAUUAAGUUCAUUUGUUGAAGGUACUCAAUUGCUUAUAACAAAUCGUUUUUUUUAGUAUCACUCUCAUUUAUUUCCAAAUAAUAAAUGUAACAUAAGAGACAAAUAAAUUCAAUUAUUAUCAAGUAGAA